GUCCUCAACUUGGGCCCGAGGCGGGAGGGCGCCACCCCGGCGCAGGGCAGGAGGUGGGCGAGCGUGGCCCUCCAGCGGCGAGUCGCUCCGCCACCUAGUGCAUCCACGGGCGAUGUGCCCUCGCCACCACAACGAACGCACAAUGUCUCAUUCUGGCAGUACCGCGAGAUGUGCCUGUCAUCCCCGCGAUUGUAGCAGCAGCCAUGGAGGCAGGCUGGGAUGCAGGUCUCGGCGGGCGCGUGGUGGGGAGGGUCGGAGAGGUCCGGCGGCGCGCGCCAGUAUGGGGAGGGCGAGCCGCAGGGCUCCGCGGGCGGCGAGAGGCCCUUGUCUGCCAAGCCGACGGGCAAGGUGGUGGGGGGCACCCACCAGGACCGGGCUGGACGAUGGGUCCGAAGGCUGUGCCAAGCACAUAAGGCACCAGAACCAUGGAACGAAGAGGCGGCCGGGGAGGAGGCGGCGGCGACCCCGCGAGGAGGACGAGGAGGACCCCGAGAGAGAAACCUGUGAUGCUAUGAGGGACGGCGGGAGGGUGGACGCUGGCACCAGAGUGGUGGCCGCCGGGGCCGGGGCGGCCGGCCGGCGCUCAGGGGCGUUGGUCUCGCUAAAAAAGUAUUCACGGAUGAUGAUGAUAAAGAAAGGGGUUUGGAGAAUUAAUUGCCUUUUAGAGCUGAUGCUGCUCUUCUGAAAGUUGGUGCGAAAUCCAGUUGCAUUUCCGAACAGCGAUAGGAUCUCAGCUACUGCGGUCGCCUCAUUUCCCAACGGGCAUAUGAAAACGAUAACAUCGUCAGCAUAGAGAGAUGUCCUAUAUCGAAUGGGUAUGCUUCCCAGGGGAGAUAAAAUGCCAGCCUUGCUCGCCUUGUCAAGCAUCCUGCAAGGCAAUUCUAAUUACAAGGGGAAGAGGGGGUCCCCCUGCCUCAGCCCUCUGCGAUGAUCAAUUUUCUCUGCCAAUUCUAAUUAACCAAUGCCCUUGUUGAGGCCGUGGAAAGGAACAUAAAUAUCCAGCACCUCCACUUCUCGCCAAAGCCUCAAAAAAAAUAAAAAAUCCCACGCAACAGUGUCAAAUGCUUUUGAGAUGUCCAGCUUGAUCAACAAAGAAGGUGUCUUAUGCUGCCUCAGGGAUAUUGUCAUUGCCUGCACGUACAUGAAGUUGUCAUGGAUUGACCUCUGAUAAAAGCAUUUUGGCAUGGGGCAAUAAGAGUGUGCAUCUUUGGUUGCAGUCUUGUGGGCUCAUGUCUAGAAUCUUUGCGACAAGCUUUGCAAAAAAAUGGAUCAUGCUUAUCAGCCUGAACUCGUUUGGUUGCGCUACCCGUGAGUGUUUUGGCAGGAGAACUAGGGUAGCAGUGUUCAGAAGAUGCAACGAAUGGGAAUUGAGCGUCUGGAGCUUUUGCAUUGUCAACAUAACCUCGUUCUUGACAGUAGUCCAACAGUGCCUAAAGAACAGUCCCGUAAAACCAUCCGGACCCGAUGUUUUCUCUGGGUGGAUAUCAAAGACUGCCUUCUUCACCUCCUCUUCUGUGAAGUCCCUUUCUAGAUCAGAGUGAUCGCAGAAUUCCAUUCCAAGCUGGGCAAGAUUGAGUCCAGCGGUUGGAGGUUGGUAAGCACAGAGAAUGCUAUUAAAAUGGUCCCAAAAAUAUCCUCCUUCUGCUGCUGGUCCACCACCGUGACAUCCCCAACCUGCAGGGACUGAAUCAUAUUCUUUCUAGAUCGCGUUGUUGCCUUCAUACGGAGAAUUUUUGUGUUUCUAUCUCCCUCCUUUAGCCGAAGGAAACGCGACUUCUGCCUCCAUAUUGCUCUGUCAAGAUCCGCCAAACCUAGACAUUGCAUCUUAUUGCUCUUGCUAUUGAAUGGAUUAGGUUCUGACCUGCACUUGCAUUUGACCUUGGUCACAUAGAAGCCAGUGGGCCAAGUCAUGACAUGGGCUUGGAGCAGCCGUUGAGCAUUAUAAAAGAAGCAGUACAGAUUGAAACGUCUUGAAGCCUCUCAUCCUCUUGCUUCUGUUUCUCACCUUCCCCUACCUGUAUCUCACCCUUGUUGCUGAUUCUCACCUCAAAUCCCUUCUCUUGUAUCCGAAAUCGGCACUGAUCUGAUUGCUCAUCCCAUGUAUGUGUUUGGGUCGUGACAUCCUGCUAACGGAUUUACCAAGGAAAGGGAUUCUGGCUGAAAGAGAUGCGGGUGUGGGAGAUCGUCUCUCUAGUCGCAUCUUCUCUGUCUCUCUCUCUCUCUGUAUGUGAUUUUUUGACAGUACUGUGCAAUUUUCACUCCAAUGUACUUGAGCUUUUCAAAGUUGAACUGUUUUUCACUUUUUCUGAAAGAUCUUAAUCCUUAACUGCUAUCUACAUUGUUCCGUUGCCCUAGUUAGUUGUUGUGAAUAUGCCAGGGCUUAUGUUGUUGAAUUUGAGUGAUUUUGUCUUCAGUGCAAUACAAGCAUACACACAGAUUUAAUUUGACGUGUGUUCACGACUAUGGCGGACUUGAAGAGAAAUGAGCACGUUGGAGAGCGCUCUGUGUUUCCUUACCUGACCGCUCUAGUCAACUGCGCCCUUUGGCUUUGCUACGGCAUCUCACCAAUGGGUAGCAGUCUCAUAAUUGUGAUCAAUGUGUUCGGGGCUGCAUGGGAGAUCUAUUACAUUUACACAUUCCUGUACUUCUGUGAGGAAGAUCAACGUCCGUGGGGAUUCAUUUAUGCGUGGUUCGGAAUCCUUAUUGUUUUUCUAGCAGAUAUGGCAAAAUACAAGUUAUUCUUCAGCUGGGCCUGCGCCCUGUGUGGCAGUUUGGUAUCGGUUUCCCCUCUGUUCAACUUGGGGACUGUGCGUCGGCAGAAGAGCAUGGACUCGAUGCCACCAUUGCUUCAAGUGGUGUUGUCUUUGGCGAACACAACGCUCUGGCGAACACAACGCUCUGGGCUGGAUACGCCUACAUGGCUGAAAAAUGCGACAAUUUCAUCUUUUACCCAAGCUUGGUAGGAUUCUCCUGCGCUGUUAUCCAGUUGGUUCUUCACAUCGCCUUGAGGCAGCACGGUGACUCUGAGUUGGACGAGGCGCUUGUGUAGGUGGCGCGGCAUCCGGGAUGACACAUGAAUGUGAAGAACUGCAGCAGGAUAUUUAACUCAUCAUCUAUCCUUUUGUUAUAUAUCUAUAUGGCAUUGUUGGCAUGUUAUGAAGUGUCUGCAUGAAGAACAUAGACAUGCAAAUUGGAGCAGCUCGUGCGAUAUCUAAACA